CCCGCUUCCACGCGGGUCCCCCCCCCACCUCCCCAGCCAUCGUUACUGCCACCACCUCGGUUCCACUCAAUCGAUUUUUGCUGCAGGUCAACAUUUAUUACCGAUCACUUACUCUCAGGGAAGUCAGAAAUCAUGUCAUUUCAUGAGGACGCUUAAGCAACCCUAAGGACACAUUCAUGAUGUUCAAGAAAAUCUCUCAACAGCCCUUGGAAUGGCAGUGCAUCUUCACUGAGAUCUCCUUGAAUUCUGCAUAUCUUUAUCCUCAAUUUACGUUACAUGUCCAGAUCCAAUUCUCUGACUAAAUACAUAAAUAAUACUAAUUUACUAAAAAGAAUUGCUCCCUCUAGUGAAUU
ensembl:lncRNA